GUAUAGUUUGCUCAUUGGCAAAAACCUGAAUCCCAAAAGGCAGACGGCCGGGCGAUAUGGGGCAGCUGGUCACUUUUAGGACAGUCUACUUGGCUCUCAAAAGUCGUCUUAGACGUAGCAAAACGAUUUGGCUGUGAUAUUUAAUGCGGACUGGGGAGCAAAAGAAUCUGCAAACAACUCCUCAUAAAAGAACAUAAUGCAAAGCAGAAGUUGUGGAGGAUCACCGCGGAGGAAGGAAAUCACUUCAGAUAUAUGACUUUGUCAAGUUUGCUGUAACCUCAUCUAAAGUUCCCUGAGUUUGUGGUGGCAUUGUGUUUAUUGUGAGUAUGCCUGUGUCUGCGUCGAAUUUUCUGAGAUCCUCUGUACGGCGUAAAUUAUAUUAUAAAAUAGCUAUUUACCAGUAUUGGUUUGAAAACUCUUUUAUUUGUCCUGUUUUUCUAAAAUGAUUUGAUUGUAAGUUAUAAAAUUAUCAUGUAUAAUAUACUUUUGUAAAUCAUAGGUACGUUUAAUGGAUGAAUUAUGUUUUCCUAUUAAAUUGGACAACUUGGGUCGUAAAAUUCUAACGGUUACUUAGAUUUACAAUAAUGUUGAUGUCGAAGCUAACUGAAAUCAAUUAAAAACUGAAAGAAUAGUGUCUUUCAAAUUUUGUUCAAGUAAAUCUAUAGAAUAGGUCUGAGCACCAUGCUCUCUAUGUGUAUUGUAAAUGGAAAAUACUUUGCUUUUUAUUAAUUAAAUUAAUAAUCAAUUUGUUUCAUUCAUACAUAAUUUAAUUUUAGAAUAUGUAGUAAAUGUAUAUCUAAAUUCCAAGCUAAAUUUUGUGCCAUGUAGAAUAUUAUUUGUUGGUGUGUUUUGUUAAGAAUAUUAUUAAAGAAGGAAUUGGGUACAAUAUAGUGUUUUGUUGUUAAAAUAAAGUGAAGCGGCUGUCAGGGUUAAAUAAAAAAUAAAAAAUAAAAA